UAGGGAAUCUUCCACAAUGGACGCAAGUCUGAUGGAGCAACGCCGCGUGAGUGAAGAAGGUCUUCGGAUCGUAAAGCUCUGUUGUUGGUGAAGAAGGAUAGAGGCAGUAACUGGUCUUUAUUUGACGGUAAUCAACCAGAAAGUCACGGCUAACUACGUGCCAGCAGCCGCNGUACUACGUAGGUGGCAAGCGUUGUCCGGAUU
rnacentral:rRNA from 1 species